GACGAACGCUGGCGGCGCGCUUAACACAUGCAAGUCGAGCGAAGCGGCGGACGGGUGAGUAACACGUGAGUAACCUGCCUUAGACAUUGGGAUAGCCGCGGGAAACCGGGAUUAAUACAAAAUGGUCUAAGAUGGACUCGCGUCCCAUUAGAGAGUUGGUAGGUAACGGCCCACCAAGGCGACGAUGGGUAUACGGCCUGAGAGGGUGAACGGCCACAGUGGAACUGAGAAACGGUCCAAACUCUACGGGAGGCAGCAGUGGGGAAUAUUGCACAAUGGAGGGAACGCUGAUGCAGCGACGCCUCGUGAACGAAGAAGGCGUUCGAGUCGUAAAUUUCUUUUAUAUGGGAAGCGGUACCAUAAGAAAAAGCCCCGGCUAACUACGUGCCAGCAGCCGCGGUAAUUC
rnacentral:rRNA from 1 species